CUUAUUCUAUUUAAUAUAUUUUUCUUAGUUUUUAAAAAUAUAUAUAGUCUAUAUAUAGGUACUAUAGUCUAUAAAAAACGAACUCUUUUUAACACAAGAUUUGUUUUUAAAAAGAAAAUCAAUGCAUAAUUUAUUUAAUUUUAUUUCUAUUGUUAAUAUCACUUAUAAAUUGUAAUCUAGAGUUUGAUACUACAUUCGACCAUCACUCAUAGUCAUACCUAUACUCGUAAGUGUUAUUAAUAGAGAGUACCUUCACGAUUGUGAAUAGGUAAUAUAGUACGUACCUACUGCACUAUACUCAUGCAUUUAACUAUAAAUUGUUGUUAGUUUUUUAAUGGAUCUGUAGCAGUUACAAUGGAAUGUUACAAAGAUUCGAUUCCAGAAAGCUACUAUUUUAUUUAUAAAACAAAUUAAUAAAGUUGUGGAUACUAUGAAUUCACAGCUACCAAAAUGUACCUUAUGAUCGGAUCCUGUAUCUAUUCACAACAAAUUAAAAUUGAAUUCAAAGUAGUUUUCAAAAUUUAGAUUUUAAAAAGCAUUUUAUAACUGGUUAGGUCAGGUCCGGAUUUAGGGAGGUACAACGGAUACAAUUUCACCGGGCGGCUAUAGUUUUUAGGAGCAGUAGUAAAAGAGAAUUACUACAAUAUCUCUGAAAAAGUUGGAUACAAGUAUUUAAUGACUAGACAACUGACAAAUCAACAUAUGAAUAAAUUGUUAUAAUUACUGUAAGCCAAACUUAUGGAUAAUCUUCUAUUAAAUUUUCAACUCUUAUAACUAGAUAGAGCAGAUUCCUGGAAGUCUUUGCACAUCAAAUUUGAAUACUGCGUGUCAAUUACUGCAGAUUACGGUACUGGCGAUUAUGGUCUAUGAAAAUGUUUUAACAAAAUUUGAUAAUAAUGGAGGAUGGGCAGAGGAAGGAAGUAUAAGCAAGCAGCACCAAACAAAAUGAAAAUUAAACGUAAAAGAAAUAAAUAUAAACAAAAUAUUGGUACAUUUUCAUGUUGCACAAUUAAUAUUGAUUAUAAGCACAGGAAACUUAUGUUCCAUCUUUUAAUAAUGUUUUUCUGUUAUGUAAACAAA